GUUCAGAAGGUUGUUAUCAUCCAUCCAGAUGGAGGAUCACUGACAGGAGCGUGGGAAGACUCCAGAAUCCACUCUGGCUGGAAUCCGGUGGAUACAGCAGUGUUACAGGUACAGUACGUGAUAUUAAGGGCAGGCGGUCAUCACUGGGGGAAGACAAGAAGCAGACGUACUUCCAAGAGGGAGCUGCAGUGAGGACACAGCCUGGUCACUGAGGUCAGAGGAGGCGCUGAAAGGUUUCCCUAAUAGUUCCUGGUGAAUCAAAGCAGAACCAUAAAGGUUGCUGGACUGCAUGAUGGCCUUACCCCUGAGCAGUCAUCCUGUUAAAGGAGGAACCAGUCAGAAGCUGUUUUCAAAGUAGCUGAGCAGAUUUCA